ACCUGACCACAACAGAAUGGGAAAUGCAAAUUAAAUCCAAUGAUUUGAAAAUUCAGCAGGAUACUUUGCAGGAAAAAACAUCAAAUAGGGUACAAAUGACACGAAGCCACAAUGGACAGGAACUGUAUGACUGUGAGUGAAGCAAGAAAGACAUCAGUGACCACUUUUACCUUAGGACACACAGGAGCACUGAAAAUGGAAGGAAUUUUUAUGAAGAUAAUCAGUAUGGAAAGAGCUUCCAUACUCUACACAACAAACCCUUUACUGGGGAAAAAUCCCCCAUGUUUAAUCAGUGUGGAAAAGCUGUCAGGCUGACUCCAGAUAUUACACAUAUGAAAACACACACUGGAGAGAAACCUUUUAAGUGUGACACAUGUGAAAAAGCCUUUAGGUUGUUCUCAUUGAUUCAUGUUCACUGUUGAUUUCAUGCUGGAAUAAAAUCUUACAAAUGUAAGGAAUGUGGGAAGAACUUUGCUGUAUUCUCAAACCUCACUGGACAUAUGAAAACUCAUACUAGAAAGCAACCCUAUAAACGUAAAGAACAUGGGAAAGACUUCCAUCAAUCCUCAGACCUCACUGGACAUCUGAAAACUCACACUGGAGAGAAACCCUAUGAAUAUAAGAAAUGUGGGGAAGCUUUUGGGUUAUUGUCAUACCUUCAUGUUCACAGUAGAAUUCAUGCUGGAAUAAAACCUUAUAAAUGUCAA